GGCCACCCUUACCGACUGUCAGCGGCUGGCAGGCAGCCUGCUGUGCAAUGCUGCUGUGUCUCUCUAUACUGGCCGGAGAGGAAGCAACAGCAUCGUCCUCUCUCCCUCCUCCCCCUGCACCCAGGGUUUCUGGCUCUGCAGCCCCUCUCAAGGCCGUAGGCAGGGAGGUCCGGUCGCUGCCCCCGGCCUUCUAUGCUCCCUCAGCCGCCGCCCAUUGCCACAAGCUGCUGGUGGCCAAUCGCCUGCUCCCGGCUCCCUUAUAUUUGCCUGAACCCUGCCGGCUCCACCUCCUGCUCCUGCAAGGCCAGUCAGUGUGAGAGGAGCGACGCAGUGCUGCCAUGGAACCCCACAUCUAUGGCACACUGUAUCAGCCACAGUCAGCAAAAAAAUACUGCUGCCACAGCGGCCAUAUUUGCUGACAGUUACAGAGUUCUAUCUGCGUGACCAAGGACCUCCGCAGGCCGCUGAUGUUCCGCCGAUGUUGUCAGUCCAUGUCAGUCCAUCUGAUGUAUCUGCACUCAGAUAAGUAAAAUGAGUCAUCCCAGGCUGUGUUUGAGGAGAGGCUGCGGUCCGAGCGACGAAGAGGAGAAAGAAGAGGUCAUCGGAAACUCAGGAACAUCUAUAAAGAGGAGAAACAUCCACUUGUGUACAGAUGCCUCAAAGGGAGCAAAGACACUGAAGCCGCUCUCCUCUUUCUGCUCCUGAGAGACCAACAGACAGACUAAACCCAGCACCUCUCCCUGAUCCAAGUCAUCCAACCUCCCAGCAACCAGCUGAAAAUGGGGAUGCCGACUGCCAUAUAAGAACAAGCUACAUUGGUGAUCGGACCGGCAACUGAACAAAGUUAAGUUACAACGGGAAGGUCCCUAUCUAAACCCCUGACAGAUCACGUUGUCCAAGGAUGGAGUAAGGUCGGGGGAAUGGCCAUUUGCCUAUCUGUGACACGUGCUGCCAUGAUCCCGAGAGACCUCAGCAUGCCAGUGUAGAAAUCUGGAUGGAAGGACCAGAAAUUGUGUAGUGGCAAUAUCUCUUCCACACCCUGGACUACCAAAGGUCUGCUUGACCCUCAGCCACAGAGAGAGAUUAUAUCAAGUUUUGAAGCCUUUUGGUACUUGCACACUCACUGUCCUUCUUGUUGAAGGCAGACAGGGAUAAGUGCCGCUCCACAUCAGACAGCUGGAUGUCUUCUCUUUUCUUUCCAUUCUUCCAGAAGUCCAGCGCCAGCUCUGAGAUCUUCUCUCCUCCUGUGUUACUGAGACACAAAGUGCACCAACACUGACUAUUAAACUACGACAAAUCGGUAUAACCUUACACAGCAAUGUAUGAAUGAGUCCGUGUGGAACUGAACCCACACCAGAUGGCAACAAACUAGUGAAUAGGGUCUAGGACAGAGAACCCACAUGACAAAGUGAAGAUGGAAUUUAGACUAUAGAUAUAAAGAUAUCUACAAACAGAGAACAUAUGUUGGCAACACACGCUACUGAAUGCCAUGUGAGGUGCUGAAUGUCUGCAAUGUCUAAUAUCAAAAUAAAUAACCAAUGAUAACAUAA